rnacentral:rRNA from 1 species
GUGCACCAGUCGAGAAUCCUCCGCAAUGCGCGAAAGCGCGACGGGGUUACCCCGAGUGCCGUCCGCUGAGGACGGCUUUUGCCCAGUGUAGCCAGCUGGGCGAAUAAGGAGAGGGCAAGUCUGGUGUCAGCCGCCGCGGUAAUACCAGCUCUCCGAGUGGUGGGGACGCUUAUUGGGCCUAAAGCAUCCGUAGCCGGUCUGGCAAGUCCCUUGUUAAAUCCAACGAUUCAAUCGUUGGACUGCAAGGGGAUACUGCCAGACUAGGGGGCGGGAGAGGCCGACGGUAUUCCCGGGGUAGGGGUGAAAUCCUAUAAUCCCGGGAGGACCACCAGUGGCGAAGGCUGUCGGCUAGAACGCGCCCGACGGUGAGGGAUGAAAGCUGGGGGAGCGAACCGGAUUAGAUACCCCCGUAGU